CAGCGUUUCCUCUGUUUGUGCUCUCUCCUCGGAGGCACCAGCUCAAGCUGUUUCUGUGUUACUACACUUUAUGGAACUAGACUUUUGAGACUUUGCUAAGGGAAACCUAGGGUUGAGCCGGCACGUUGCUGUACCAGCUGUCCCCACUGCGCAGGAUUUCUCCCAUCCCUGCUGCUUGUGCGUCCAGUGUUUGACCAAGCUUUAUAGCCAACUGCAACAAAAGCAUUCUGUGAUGGCACUGGGAUCUGAACGCUCAACUGCGGAUCCUUUAAGACAGGUGGAUUCAGGCAGACUUCAGGAAUUGGCUAAUCUCAGCCAGGACUCCGGAGUGAUGUCACAACAACUCCUCUACCGUGCACUGGUGUCUGCAAAAUGGCUUUCAGAAGCCAUCAAGUCCCAGCAAGCUGGGCUGGCCUUGAGAAUCGUGGAUGCAUCCUGGUAUUUGCCAAAGAUGAAGCGUGACCCAAAGAGGGAGUUUGAGGAGCGCCACAUCCCUGGUGCAGUUUUCUUUGACAUUGACCAGUGCAGCGACCGAACCUCACCUUACGAUCACAUGUUGCCCAAGGCUAGUGACUUUGCCGAGUAUGUGGGGAAGCUGGGUGUGGGGAAUGAUUCCCAUGUUGUGGUGUAUGAUGGCAGCGACCAAGGUCUCUUCUCAGCGCCCCGGGUGUGGUGGAUGUUCCGGGUCUUCGGUCAUGAAGCUGUUUCCCUUCUGGAUGGUGGCCUGAAGAACUGGCAGCGAGAGGGGAAUGCGCUGAGUUCUGGGAAAACCCAGGUAGCUCCAUGCGAGUUCCACGCCUCCUUGGACAAGUCCCUGGUGAAAACGUAUGAGGAUGUCUUAGAUAACUUGGAUUCCCGUCGCUUCCAACUAGUAGAUGCCCGUGCUGCAGGACGGUUCCGGGGAGUAGAGCCAGAGCCCCGAGAUGGAAUUGAGCCUGGUCAUGUCCCUGGGUCGACGAGCAUCCCCUUCACUGAUUUCCUCACAGAGUCUGGCUUGGAGAAGACCCCUGAGCAGAUCCGCACUCUGUUCCAGGAGAAGAAGGUGGACCUCUCAAAGCCGGUGGUAGCCACAUGUGGCUCUGGGGUCACUGCCUGCCAUGUGGUUCUGGGGGCAUACCUCUGUGGCAAACCAGAUGUUGCAGUGUACGAUGGGGCCUGGGUGGAAUGGUACAUGCGGGCACAGCCUGAAAAUAUUAUUUCUGAGGGAAAGGGGAAGACUGUGUAAUAAGCUGCUUUGUCUCCCAGCUGUGCAGGGAGCUGUGUGGCACAGGCCAGCCAUCCACCUGGAGAUCAUAAACUAAAUGAAAAGUUUCCUUCUCCCCUUGCUCUACAUUUUGACUGUGUGGCUGGAUGACAUCUAGCAGGGUCUUUCCCCCUCUCUGCUGAGAGCUGUUCUUGUGAUGCAGGCAAAGCACUGGGAAUGUUGUGAAGACUAAGACAAUGUUUUCAAAGCCUGGAGACUGCAAAAACCUAUUUUGAGCCAUAACAGAUGCUACUGGACAUAUGGAACAGCUGAGGGGACUUGCACCAGGACUAUAAAUGUUCUGCAGAUCUUUAUGUUCCUGACUCAGUGGGUGGGUUUCCUAUGGGAACUGAAAACUGGGGAGAAGUUGAUACAAUGCAAAUUACUAACGUUCAUUACUUUCCUGUGGAAAAUUUGCCACAGGGAAAUGGGAAUAGCAUAUCUUUGGUGGAAUAGGGCUCAUGGUGGCCAAUAAAGUAGCCUAAACAACAGCCAUGAUGUAGGAGGAAGGUCACACUGACCUGUGGCUAACUUGAGACUGGAGUUUUUACAGCUCUAUACAAAUUUGAGAAUCUCAGGCCAGCAUCUAAACUCUUUAUUGGUUUAUUGGUAAUAUCUAUCUAUCUGCAAUACUUUUGUCCUGAAAGAGUUUUGGACUCUGUGAAAACAGUCUGGUCUGGUCAAAAGUAAUCCCACAGUCCACUGUUCCUCACAUGUCUUCUUUGUCACCUGCCUUCCUCUCUCUUCCCUACUGCUGCCUAGCAGUCAGGUUGCACUAUUUCACACUUCAUUUCCCAGUAAACCUUUUGUUCCCUUGCAAACUUUUCCAGAUUCUAAAGGAGCCCUUCUUUAUAGCACCACUGUUCCAACCCCUGUGUGAGCAAUGGUAAUUGCUGUUACCUACAGGGAUUUUUCAUGUUCCUCCCAUCUCUCCUGGUUCCAGCUUGCAACCAGGUGCUACAUGACCAUUCUCUCUCCUUCUCCCAGCACUCGUCCAGCAAAGGUGCCAAGUGAUGCACAUAUACAUUUAGACUUCACACACUAAAGGUACAUUGCUCACAGACCUCAUGCAGCACAAGGAGCUGGAGAAGGAUUAGCUUGCCUGCAUGCCAUGGGGCCUUUCUCCCUGCUCCAGUAUGCCUGGUUCAGCUAGCUGUUGAGCAAGGCUCUACUGUCUGCAAGUGAACUAUGUUCCUCCCACGUCCAAGUCCAGUGCAUGGAGUUUUCUGUGCCUGUUCAUGUUGGCUUAAUGGCAAAAUGUCAGAGCAUUACUUGUCCUUCCCUCUCCACUUCCUAUAGAAAAGAGAGUGGCACCAAUCCUACAUGGAUGUGUUGACUAAUUCUUCCUGGUUUCUUCUUUGAUUCCUCAUGCCACAUAAUCCCAGAUAUGUAUUCCCAGCCUGUCAGAGUGGUGACACUGUCCAUGCCAACACACGGCGAUCCCUGCUCCCACUGCCGCUCCACAAUACAACAAUUCCCUAAGAGCAGCUCCACAAUGUCAAUGAUGCAUCAUGUGCCAUGGGCACAGCUGACUUGUCAGGCUGCAAUGGAAGUACAGAGCGCUGCAGUGUGUGCAGCUUUCUGCAGGAUUGCACUGCAGGCCUGCUGGCUGCUGAACCAAGAAACUCUCAGUUUACCCUCUGCUCUGUUCUUUUCUGCUCUUGUUCAGUCCAGUAUUCAAUGGCUGUCAAGUUUUUCCUGCUCCCAGUCUGUCUGUGCAAUGGUCCCUGUGAUUUCACCGGGUACUUCGCAGUGUUACAGUGUUACACAAUCACACAGCCCCAUGUAAGCUCUUGCUUACUCUUUUCUGUUUCUGUGGUGUGUUUUAUAUAUAAUCAUCAAAGCAGGAGGAACAGCCAUAGGAUCAUAAAACUUUCAGGUUGGAAAAGACCUCCAAGAUCACUGAGCCCAACCUUUGACUGAACACCACCAAUUAUUUAAACUUAGCUCCCCUGUGUUCUAUUGCUUGAUUUUAAUGGACCUUAACAAGGGCACGCUAGUUGCUUCUCAGAACUAUGUCUGGUGGUGAUGUGCAAUCAGGUCUGUAUUUAGCCCACACCACCAACUCAUUGGAACAUUUCAGUUGGUAACUCACCACAGACUGGCUUCUCCCUAAAGAGAACUUCCACAUACUGUGGGGAAAUCCCUGCCCCAGUGAGUUUCCAAUAAAUUUUGUGCUGUAUGUUGCAGAAGA